rnacentral:tRNA from 1 species
GCAGGUAUAGCUGAGUGGUAAAGCACAUGCUUAGCAUGCAUGAGGCCCUAGGUUCAAUUGCCAGCACCACCC